AGAGUUUGAUCAUGGCUCAGAACGAACGCUGGCGGCAGGCCUAACACAUGCAAGUCGAACGCUGUAGCAAUACAGAGUGGCAGACGGGUGAGUAACGCGUGGGAACAUGCCCUUCGGUUCGGAAUAACUCAGGGAAACUUGAGCUAAUACCGGAUACGCCCUUAGGGGGAAAGAUUUAUUGCCGAAGGAUUGGCCCGCGUCCGAUUAGCUAGUGGGUGAGGUAAUGGCUCACCAAGGCGACGAUCGGUAGCUGGUCUGAGAGGAUGAUCAGCCACACUGGGACUGAGACACGGCCCAGACUCCUACGGGAGGCAGCAGUGGGGAAUAUUGGACAAUGGGCGCAAGCCUGAUCCAGCCAUGCCGCGUGAGUGAUGAAGGCCCUAGGGUUGUAAAGCUCUUUCGCCAGGGACGAUAAUGACGGUACCUGGAUAAGAAGCCCCGGCUAACUUCGUGCCAGCAGCCGCGGUAAUACGAAGGGGGCUAGCGUUGUUCGGAAUCACUGGGCGUAAAGCGCACGUAGGCGGAUCUUUAAGUCAGGGGUGAAAUCCCGAGGCUCAACCUCGGAACUGCCUUUGAUACUGGAGGUCUCGAGUCCGGGAGAGGUGAGUGGAACUGCGAGUGUAGAGGUGAAAUUCGUAGAUAUUCGCAAGAACACCAGUGGCGAAGGCGGCUCACUGGCCCGGUACUGACGCUGAGGUGC
rnacentral:rRNA from 1 species